AAGAAACCAACAGGGAUUGCCCCAGUAACGGCGAGUGAAGCGGCAAGAGCUCAAAUUUGAAAGCUGGCUCCUUCGGGGUCCGCAUUGUAAUUUGCAGAGGAUGCUUCGGGAGCGGUCCCCAUCUAAGUGCCCUGGAACGGGACGUCAUAGAGGGUGAGAAUCCCGUAUGGGAUGGGGUGUCCGCGCCCGUGUGAAGCUCCUUCGACGAGUCGAGUUGUUUGGGAAUGCAGCUCUAAAUGGGUGGUAAAUUUCAUCUAAAGCUAAAUAUUGGCCGGAGACCGAUAGCGCACAAGUAGAGUGAUCGAAAGAUGAAAAGCACUUUGAAAAGAGAGUUAAAAAGCACGUGAAAUUGUUGAAAGGGAAGCGCUUGCGACCAGACUCGCUCGCGGGGUUCAGCCGGCAUUCGUGCCGGUGUAUUUCCCCGCGGGCGGGCCAGCGUCGGUUUGGGCGGUCGGUCAAAGGCCCUCGGAAGGUAACGCCCCUAGGGGCGUCUUAUAGCCGAGGGUGCAAUGCGACCUGCCUAGACCGAGGAACGCGC
rnacentral:rRNA from 1 species